rnacentral:tRNA from 1 species
UGUGUUGUGGCUCAGUGGUAGAGUGCUCGCCUCGCACGUACGAGACCCUGGGUUCGAUCCUCGGCACCACAU